AAAAUCAAGAAGAAAAAAAAACAAAACCAUGGAAGAAGAGAAGGAAACGGAGAGAACACAAGGGACAGCAAAACUAGGUGGAAGGGAGGAAAAGAAGGGCAUAGACAGAAAAGAAGACAGAACAGCCUCAAGAACGGAUAGUGCUCUGAUUUGUCCUGAUCCCUUCCCCAGCUCCCUAUGAAGGGCCAGACCCAGAUGGAGGAUGGGGAGAAAAAAGCCAGAAAGAAAAUAGAAGGAAGGAAGGAAGGAAGGAAAUAGGGAUGUCAGAAAAUUUGAAGCAUCCUAACAUGGUGUGGGAAGUGAAGACGAAUCAAAUGCCUAAUGCAGUGCAGAAACUCUUGUUUGUAGUGGACAAGAGGACUUCAGGGAUGAGUGAGUCAUUGGAGUUACUGAAAUGUAAUGAGAACCUGCCAUCUUCUCCUGGAUAUGCAUCCUGUGAUGAGCACAUGGAGCUUGAUGAUCUUCCUGAACUACAAGCUGUUCAGACCGAUUCUACCCCAACUGCGCUCUUUCAGCUUGGUACAGAUGUUUCACAUCAAGAAUAUUCAAGGCCUUCAUGGAACCAGCAUACCUCAAAUAACAAUUCAGAAAGUGCUUAUUCUUGUGAGAAUGGGGUGAACUGGUUGACAGAACUGGCAAACAUAGCCACUAGUCCACAGAGUCCUCUCAUGCAGUGUUCUUUUUAUAACAGAUCAUCUCCUGUUCAUAUAAUAGCAACAAGCAAAAGUUUACAUUCCUAUGCACGUCCUCCACCCGGAUCCUCAAAGAGUGAUCCUAGCUUCUCUAAGCAUCACUUAGAUGAAACAACAGUCAGACAUGAAAGGACAAAUAGUGAAUCAGAGUCUGGUAUUUUCUGCAUGUCAUCGCUUUCAGACGACGAUGAUCUAGGAUGGUGCCAUUCUUGGCCCUCAACUGUUUGGCACUGUUUUUUAAAAGGCACACGUUUAUGUUUUCACAAAGGACACAACAAAGAAUGGCAGACAGUUGAACAUUUUGUUACAGCUGAAGGUUGUGAAAAUGAGGAUGAUCUCUUAAUGGGAACUUACAAGGACUAUGGUUCUGAUGGUUUGAAGUUGAUAUCCCACGAAGAAAGUAUUUCAUUUGGUGAGUCAGUAUUGAAGUUGACAUUUGAUCCUGGUACAGUGGAAGAUGGCUUACUCACCGUAGAGUGCAGAUUGGAUCACCCAUUUUAUGUUAAAAAUAAAGGUUGGUCUUCUUUCUAUCCAAGCUUGACUGUGGUUCAGCAUGGCAUUCCAUGCUGUGAAAUGCAUAUUGGAGAUCUGUGUCUACCUCCAGGACACCCCGAUGCCAUUAACUUUGAUGAUUCAGGUGUUUUUGAUACGUUUAAAAGUUAUGAUUUUACACCAAUGGAUUCUUCGGCAGUUUAUGUAUUAAGCAGCAUGGCUCGUCAGCGUCGUGCUUCUUUAUCUUGUGGAGGAUCGGGCAGUCAAGACUUUGAGAGAUCAGAAUGCAGUAAAAACUGUGUGUCUGAUGGAUCAUCACAGCUUUCCUCCAGUUCUUUGUGUAGUAAAGCUGGCAAAAGCCACAGCUCAGGGACUGCAAGUACUAUGAGUGCCACUUCUCCUAACAAAUGCAAAAGACCAAUGAAUGCCUUCAUGCUUUUUGCCAAAAAGUACAGAGUCGAAUAUACUCAGAUGUAUCCAGGGAAAGAUAACAGAGCCAUAAGUGUGAUACUUGGUGACAGGUGGAAGAAAAUGAAAAAUGAAGAAAGACGGAUGUACACGCUAGAAGCCAAGGCUUUGGCUGAAGAACAAAAACGUUUAAAUCCUGACUGUUGGAAACGGAAACGAACAAAUUCAGUAUGUUUUGUCAAACAGUGCUCAACUGCAUUACAUAGUUUACAAAUAAGUUCACAGUCCCGUGUUUUUCUUUUUCUGCAGUACAUAAUAUAGUAGACCUCAUGCUCUCCUUUGUUUCACUAGCCCACACUUUCCUUUUGUUACUCUAUAGCCUUUAACCUGCUGUUGCAGAGAUGGUGUCACAGCCUGUUUUGACUGGAUGACAGAGGGCAAUUGGCCUGUUUCAAAGCUGAUGACACUGUGACUAUGUAUUGGGUGGAAGCCACCCACUCUCAUAUUACUCAAAAAAAAAAACCACAUGAAUUUCACUGGUCUGACAAGUGAGAAGUUUUUUUCAGAGUAUGGAGUCUGCAAGGACUUCAACUUUAAGAGUGUGAAUGGGACAGCUUUCUCAGGAGCACAUGCAGGUGUUGCUUUAGUGCUUAGCCAGAAAUGCUGCAAGAGCAUGGUUGCUUCUCUAUUUACUACUGUAUCUAGAGCCUUCAGUCCCUGGGCUGCACAAAGCACCACCAAAUCCCAGAUGGCAUCACCAGAUUGACUACUUGUAUCUUUCCAUGCGAGUUACCAUUCUAGCAUCUACAACAGCAGAAUUAAAAUCAGAAAUUGUGUAAUAAGGCAACAAAACUUCAUGUAAUUCUGUUAAAGCUUGCAGUAAUCCAUUAUGGUUUAACUAAAGACUUCUAUUUAGUAACUGUAUUUUUCUCAAUAAUGCGGUCUUGCGAAUCACAAUGUGAGAUUGCCUGUGCCGUUCUAGACUUGGGCUGGUAAGAGAGAUUAGUGUACAUAGUGCUGGUCAUGAGGACCAAAUUAAACUCAGCUGCUCCUACGUAUUUGAAUUGAAAUAAAUGGAUUGUGAGCAUGGAACUGUGAACAACUUUUCAGUCAGUCUUGGGUUGGCUUCAGCAAGGGGGAGAACUUGAACACACCCCUAUGUAUUUAGAUUUUCUCUGUUAAUGCUUUUUGCGUGUGUAGAUACAAUGGUGAUAGACAUCAUAGAAAUACCUAGGAUGAACUACCCCCAUGACAAAGCAGCAGUAGCUAGUGAUUUGUGUCAAUUGUUACACCUUGCUGGAGGUUCAGAGAGCAAACAAGCUGAUUCAAGAAACUCUCCAAAUAACUGUUUGGCUUCACUUCUUAAUCUAGAGACAGAGUUAAUUAUUAGCUCAUUUUGCAACUACCCAAGUGUCAGCAUGUUCAUCUUGAUCAGCAAAUGCAAGUACUUUUCUACAUUCUGUAAAUAAAUCCUUUUCACAUCUCAUACUACUUCUGCAUCUGUAUUUCUCUUUGAUUUGUAAUUGCUAACCUGGUUUCUCUUUUGUUACUGUUUUUACAGGGCUCACAACAACAUUAAAUCAGAAUUUUAUUGUUAACUAAACGGCUGACACUUGAUGGAGAGAUUUAUGAAGAUCAAGGUCUUACCAUUUGUUGUGAAUUUGUGAGACCACAAAAUGCUGGCAUUAUCAAGUCAGAAAAUGAUUUAACAUGAGUGAGGAUUUGCUUUUUACAAUAGAGCAUUCAGUAACCUAAAACUAUCAACAUUUUAAACCAAAUUGCCUUAUUUUUCUUCCAAACUUCAUAUAUGUCUAUCAGGUAAUAUAGGCUUGAAAAUGGAUAUCCUGUGGUGCUAAGUAAAUUAGGAAAAAGAAGAGAUGUGUAUAAAUGUUUUUUUUAAAAUGUACAAAAAGGGGAAUUUUAAAAUAUGUAACAGCUGUUUAUACAUUGAUUUAUAUUGCUGAUUAAUAUGUAUUGCACAAGCCAUAUAAUUAAUUAUGAUUCUGGGAGCUGGGAUUUCCUGAAAUGGCAAAAAGCAUUAGUACUAACCUGUGAACUCCCAGUCUGCCCCAUGCCAACAAGCUACCAGAUUGUGGUAAGUGGACAGUGUAGUGUACCAUAGCAAGAGAGUUGCCUAGUAGGGUGCCACAUGUAAAAUUUAUAUCCAUGGUGUGAUGUUUUUGCACCAGCUGACAAUACUGUGAGCUAUUAUUUCCAAUGGAAAUAAUGGCUUGGGUCAGGAUGAAAUGAAUUAAUAGCAUUGCAUUAUCUCAAGAAAAUAUUGCAAAUGAUAAUUGUCACCAUUGUACUUUUAACUUCGUGUUUUGUCUCCUUUGCCACAUAUUCUAUGAUUAUAUUUUAUUUUGCCAUAAUAUAUGUUUAUGGUGGGGGCAAACUUUGCACUUAUGUAGGUGCAACACUUGCACUUUACUUUUUUCCUCCAACUGUCUAAAAUUAGACCAGAUACAUUAGAAUUACAGCUGCUUUUGCUGUAAACUUUUACAAUCAUGGCUUUUCAUGUUACUAAACAAGCAGUGUGUUUCUUUUUUAAGAAUCACAACUGUAAAUUAAUUGUUCAUGACAUGUCUACAGGAUGUUGCCCCUAAGAUUUUUGCACACUAUAUUCUUGUAUAUUAUUUCAAAUAAAUUUGUAAAACUU